rnacentral:rRNA from 1 species
GACGAACGCUGGCGGCGUGCUUAACACAUGCAAGUCGAACGGUGAAGCGCCUUCCUUUUUGGUGGGUGUGGAUGAGUGGCGAACGGGUGAGUAACACGUGAGUAACCUGCCCCCUUCUUCUGGAUAACCGCAUGAAAGGGUGGCCAAUACGGGAUUUUCUGGGUCUGUCGCGUGCUGGGUCUGGGAAAGAUAUUGGUUCGGUGGGGGAUGGGCUCGCGGCCUAUCCGCUUGUUGGUGGGGUGAUGGCCUACCAAGGCGGGGACAGGUAGCCGGCCUGAGAGGGUGGCCGGGCAGGCUGGGAAUGAGACACGGCCCAGACGCGUACGGGACGCAGCAGUGGGGAAUACGGCACGAUGGGCGCAAGACUGAUGCAGCGACGCCGCGUGAGUGAUGGAGGCCUUCGGGUUGUGAACCUCUUGCGCCAGUGAAGCAGACCUGCCUCGUUUGUGGGGAGGUUGACGGUAGCUGGAUAAGAAGCUCCGGCUAACUACGUG